rfam:Capnocytophaga cynodegmi strain Ccyn2B genome assembly, contig: CCYN2B_Contig_25
GGGGUCGAUCGGUUUUGACAGUAAGUCGAAUUGAAAUGUAAGCAUACCGAGCUAUGAAAUUAAUGCUCGUUAAUCUCUAUUUCAAACUUUUUAAAUGGCGAGAAUAACUACGCUCUUGCUGCCUAAUCUGAAGUUUAGUAAGAUUUCUGGCUAAGUCUCUACAAGGUAGGGAAGCGAGAUGUCUCUGAAAAGCCCUUGUUGACGGCGGUUCGUACAGAGGCACCAUAAAAGUCAACAUUGAAUCGGAUGAUGGUUUCCACUGAAGAUUCGGAUUUUAGGGAACUAAGCGUGUUGUGGGCGGUUUUUGGUCAGCAACCCGACGAAAAUCAAACAAAAACUAAGUAUGUAGAAAGCCUUUGAAUUGCUUAUUUGGACGAGAGUUCGAUUCUCUCCGACUCCACAG